GGGAAUGUGGCUUAGUGGUAAAGUGCUUGCUUAGAAGACAUGAAGCCCUGGGUUUGAUUCCCCAGUACCA
rnacentral:tRNA from 1 species